CGGGCAGAAGGUCAAUUAUCAGCUAUCGCUGGAGACACGUAAAACGUCAGGCGGCAGGGCUACGCUGAGGAUCACCGGCUGAAAAGAGGCAGAACGGCCCAGUAAACCGGAAAUGCCUUUAGCAAGAAUAAAGCCUCCCACGCCACCCAGCAGCGCACCGCAGGCGGCCGCUAAAUCGCUGUGAAACAGCAUCUGAAACACGCCAGCCAGGGCAAACAAUCCAAUUAACGGCGUCAUAUAGACCAAAAAAGCCGAGCUGAGCAGGCUGGUUUCAGCAAUACCUAGCUCAAUACGUUGACCCGGAAUAAGCGGUUCCGCACUGGCGAUUUUCAUCACAUGCGCAUUUUUUGGCCCCAGCUUCUCCAGCAUAUGGCUGCCACAGCCUUUACGCGCCGAGCAGCUGUUACAGGACGUUUUCAUUUCGGCGUGCAGCGUCGCGAUGCCAUCCUGCCACGACACCACCGUUGCCCAUUCUUUCAUC
rnacentral:ncRNA from 1 species